rnacentral:lncRNA from 1 species
AAAAAAAAUCACCUCUCCGUAUUCCCUGCUGGCUAUCCAUUUCCCAGUGAUGCACCUGCUGUAGGAUACAGUGCCCUGAAUUUCUUAGGUCAAAGCUGUCUAAGAAGAAACCAUGCAAAAGAAAGCAGGACUGGGAGAAUGGGAAUGCUGAGUUCUAAUGGGAAAUUCGAGCCUUGGAUCCAGUGGGGUUUGUUUCUAGAUUCUUUUCUUUUAUUCUAAGAACAAAUACAUUCUUUAUUUUAUACUCUAUUUUGGAGUUAGAUAUUUUUCUCCAUGUAAUCAAAUGAGCCAUGACCACUGUAUCUCACUGGAACAAACAUUACAACUAACAUUAAAGGUAAAGAACUUGAUCCUUCUUUAGACAAGCCGUUGUUGGAACAAGAUUAUGUGCAGAUUUGUGCUCUCUCUCUCUCUCUCUCUCUCUCUCUCUCUCUCUCUCUCUCUCUCUCGCCUCUGUCCCUCCCCACUGGUAUAGUGCUGCCCAGCACUACCUCCUAUGUUCUAGAAAUUGUCUAGAUCUGCACUUUCAGCCAGGUCACCAGUGCCAUACGUGCCAUUGAAUCCUUG